AAGUUGGAACCAGAACCUGGAGUGGGGACUGAGGAAGAAGCAGGGGGUCAUGGAACAGAUAAACAUUGGAGGGUGGACGGCCAGGCGAGUGAGCAAUGGUGUCAAAGGAAUUUAAUAAUCAAGGAACGAGGAAGCAGAGCACAGGAAGCCAGGAACUGAGCAUGAACAAGUGAAAUGGAUCCUGAAACAACAGCAAAGGAAGUCUGCUCUUCUUCAUGCUCCUCCUGAUUGGGCUCGAUGAGCUGCAGCUGGAAGGAGCACACCUGCCAGUCACAGUGAAAGAAGGUGAGGAGAAACACGGG